rnacentral:rRNA from 1 species
AUACGGAGGGUGCUAGCGUUGUUCGGAAUUACUGGGCGUAAAGCGCGUGUAGGCGGCCUCUUCAGUCUGGUGUGAAAGCCCGGGGCUCACCCCCGGAAGGGCACUGGAUACUGGGAGGCUGGAGUACCGGAGAGGAGGGUGGAAUUCCUGGUGUAGCGGUGAAAUGCGUAGAUAUCAGGAGGAACACCGGUGGCGAAGGCGGCCCUCUGGACGGAUACUGACGCUGAGACGCGACAGCGUGGGGAGCAAACAGGAUUAGAAACCCCAGUAGUCC